GGGGUUGUGGCUCAAUGGUAGAGCACUCACCUAGCAUGUGUGAGGCCCUGGGUUUAAUCCUCAGCACCA
rnacentral:tRNA from 1 species